rnacentral:lncRNA from 1 species
GGGGAGGUCUGUGACGGCUGAGUGAAUGCAUGAGUGACUGUGGCCUGAUACGAUUGCAUCUCAGGUUCAGUUGUGUGGCUCCACUGUUUCCACUACGGGGUCCCAGUGGGUCCUAACCUGCGGUUCCAUGGUAACCUCAUACGGUUUACAGCUGCGUGGGACUCUGAGGAUUCUCUAACCUCCCUGCGAGUUGGAUCCAGGUUCGGGGUUUAUACGAACCAGCCAAUUGCUAAGAGGCACCUAAACUCCCUAGAGAGAGGUGGCCAGGCAGACAUCUGAAUGUGUGCUCCAUGAAGGGGCAUCCCCUCCUUGUCUUGCUUGCCACAGCCUUGCAGGGGGAAACCCAGGUGGGAUAUUAGCCCUUCGAGACCACCCUCACAUGAGUCGAAGACCCCUUUGCCCUCGGCGAUUACAAAGGAGAGGUUCUUCAAAGAAAUCUUGAAUUUGACCUUAUCCCCAGAAAUCCAGGAAUCUUGGCCCGAAUCCUGGGUGGACCUCGGGAUUGUUCAUUCUGCCUGCUCUCAGAACCCCAGGAGCUGAGUAAAGGGGAUUUUUGGUUGCAGCCACACUAGGAGAUCCCCCUUCUAGUCCACCUGCUUUGUCGUCCACCCACCAUCCUGAGAUCGUGUUACGUUAGCUCCAGAUUCAGGGAAGACUGCAUCCAAAGACCCUUGAGUUUCAUUGAAGCCUUAGAAUAUUCCCAAGAACUCGCCCCAAGGGCCAAGACCCGGAGUGGUUAGCAUCCUUAGUGGCAAAGCAAGUGCUUGCCCCCCGGCACCCCUCCCCCGCCAUAGAGUGGGCGGAGCGGGGGUCGCUCUGCUUUGGGGAGUGGAGGAGGCAACAGUAAAAGGGACAUCCGCCACGGAAACUGAAGCAGGCUCCUAGCUGUGGGCAGUAGAUCAGGACCUAACACCACGGGGGCACCUAAAUCUAAGCCCACGGCUUAAACUGCAUGAUCAAGAAUUUCAAGAAGGGCUUUUGGGGGGACUAUGGCGUCGGAAUGAACCCUGGACAACGCCACACCCCGUGUGAGCCAAAGUGGCCCUCCUUUGGAGUGGGAUGGCCUUCAGAGGGCACGCCAGACAUGCCCACAGGAAGGGCGGCCUCUCGGGUGGUCACCGACACCCCAGGACACCCCGAUCAGUUCCCAUACAUAGGACUUUGCCUCCCUGGGUCCGGUUCUGCACCAAUGGCCAGGGACAAUGUAGGAUCCUUGUGGCCCAAGCGCCCUCGGAAAAAAAAGAAGGACCGGCUAAACCUUUCCUACAAGGAGACCCAGGAGACGACACCCCUCCAGCCCCGCCGCCUCCGCCCUGUCUUCCCACGGCUCCACCCUUUCUUGUGCAACCACCACCCCAACAGUUGCCAAACAGUCCACCUCCCUCUGUGUCUCCACCAGUCCCACAACCGCCAUGGGCCCCAAGUCCAGCGCCAAAGGGAAGACGACUCCGCUGGGCUCAGCAGUCCGCACAAAUGACUGCAGCCUUCCAAGCUCCCCUGUGGGAGAUGUGGGGCCCCCAACAAGCAAAUGGUGAUGGCGCUGGGCCCUCCCGUUCUCUAUUACCAGCCCUUCAGCACAACCGACCCCCUGAACUGGAGGCGCCUCACCCAGCUCACUCCGAAAAUCCAUCUUCCAAGCCCACCAGCCAACCUGGGGCGACACCCGUCAACUCCUCCCUACCUGCGCCAGCACCAAGGAGGGGUCUGCAAGUGGCUCCACGGACAGCCUCCUGCAGGCACCCUUGACCUUGAGGGGUGGGCACAGAGGGCAGCUCCAGAAAACAGACCUGACUGGGGCUUCAACACUCAGGCCGGGUGGGCGCCCUGGGGUGCCGUCGGAAUGCUCUCCUUCACGGCUGCGGGCCGGAGCCAAAAGCCACCCAUGUGACAAAGACGACGACCGUGCUGAUCCAGAAAUCCGACGAGACACCGACGGACUUCUACGAGAGGUUGUGUGAGGCCUUGCAGACCUUCCCUCCCUUGGAUCCUGAGGCACCUGGGCAUCAGCGAAUGGUUAAUGCAGCCUUUGUGGCCCCGUCUUCCAGCCACAUGCUUGUAAGACACAAGUUGGACGGCUUAGCUGGGAUGAACGCGUCACAGUUGCUAGAAACAGCAGGGAAGGUUUUUGUGAGCCAAGAUGGCAAGCCCUGCGGGAAGCCGGAAGGCAGAUGAAACGAAAGGUGUCCCUGAGGGCGGCCGCACCAGGCAACCCCGAGCCCAGCAGGUGGCCUCGGCCACCAGGCAGAAGGGAGCAGGAAGGAGCCGCCCUUGAGACGAGGGCAACGUGCAUGUUGUAAAGGAGAUGGGACACUGGAAAAGCAAACGCCCGCAGCAAAAGGGGGGCCCCCUGAGAAAAGGAGCCUCGUCCAGUGGAGGAAGGUGCUGAGCAGAACCGAUUGGGCACGGCCUCAGCGGCCUGGGCUGGAACCAAGUCCGCGCACAAUCCGUCUUUGCCUUCAGUUUAUCUCCAGUGUCUUGCAUCAUCUUCAGCAUCAACAGUCUCAAGUCUUUUUCCUGGAGGCUGAGAAUCUCCUGAUCACUUAACUGAUUUUCUGGGGGUUUUUCCUUUCUCCCUCGUCUGAGUUAUAGUUCUCUGUCUUCUCAUUUCUAUAGGUUUUUGGUGUGACCUUUUUACAGAUAAUAGAGUUGUUGCCUCUCUUGCUUCUGGCAUCUGUCCCCCUUGUGGGGGCCUGCUGCAGGCUUCCUGAUGGAAGGGACCUGGAACAGUCAGAUCAGGGGACCCUGGACUCCUUGCUCCUGGGUCCCUGGGAGCCCGCGGUUGAAGUGAUGACGGGGGACCAACCGGUGACAUUCAUGGUGGACACUGGUGCUGGACACUCAGUAGUGACCAAACCGUGGCUCCUCUUACUCAGUGACAAACGACCAUUGUUGGGGCCACUGGAAUGCAGGCCGCUUGCCCGUUUUGUGGGCCCAGACCUGCCAGCUGGGGGGCCACCCAGUGACUCCCGAGUUCCUGUGCAUACCGAGUGCCCCAUCCCCUCCUGGGAAGAGAUUGCCUGACCAAACUGGGGGCCCAGAUAACACUUGCCCCUGGGAAGCCGGUGAGUCUCAUGCUGGGCAAAGAGGGGGCCCUGCCGAUGGCAGUAACUCUACCACGCGGGGACAGAUGGCGACUCUAUUGCUCAAAGGAAAGCGGGAUAAGUCCCACGGCCCUCCUGGGAGAAUUCCCCCUGCUCUGGGCCGAGAAAGGGCCCCCUGCGAUGGCCAAGAAUCAUGCGCUCGUUGUGGUGGACUUAAAGCCUGGCACCACCCCCAGCAAACAGCAACAGUACCCUCUAACACGAGAGGCACAUCCGGGAUCCAAGAACACAUUCGGUGAUUGCGAGACGCCGGAAUCCUGGUAGAGUGCCAGUCUCCAUGGAAUCCCUCCUCCUACCUGUCAAGAUGGCCAAAGGGUAUGAUUACCGACCAGUGCGGGACUUGGGCCCGGUUAGCCUGCAGCCAUCACCACCCACCCGUGGUGCCAAACCCCUGUCCUCUCUUGGGGCUGCUGCCCGCUCAAGCAAGCUGGUUCACCUGCCUAGACCGCAAGGAUGCCUUCUUCUGCCUUGGACUAGCACCUGUCAGGCAGCCACUGUCUGCCUUCGAAAGGGAGGCUCCCCAGACAGGUAGAAAGGUCCAACUAACCGGACACGGCUACCACAGGGCUUCAAAAAUUCACCCACUCUGUCUGGGGAAGCACCAGCCCGAGAUCUAGCUGCCUUUCCCAGCGGGGCCAUGAACUGUACCCUCGUCUAGUGUGUCAUGGAUCUGCUACUGGCAAGCAUUCCCCAGAAGGAUUGCUGGGAGGAAACACGAACCCUGCUAGCUCUGCCGUCUACCACAGGCGAGGAGGCGUCCUGGAAAAAGGCACAGACCUGCAGACAGACAGUUAAGUACCUCGGGUUCAUCACCUCAAAAGGACAUCGAGCCCUCGGGCGAGAGGGCAAACAAACCACCGGCUCCGUGCCUCCACCGUCUACCGAGGGAGAGGUCAGAGAACUCCUCGGGGCCGCGAGAUUCUGCCGGAUUUGGACCCCCAGGUUCCCUAGCAGAGCUAAGCCGCUGUGUGAGGCUGCCGCAGGCUCGGGUGAGGAACCCUUGAGGUGGAACAAGGAGCAGGAAGAGGCCUCCGAGGAGGUGGAGGGGCUGCCAGAUGUAACACGGGAGUUCAGUUUGUUCAUCCAUGAGAAACACCGCACUGCACGGGGUGCUCACACAGACUCUGGGGCCACGGCAACGGCCAGUGGCACAUCUGUCCAAGGGUUGGAUCCAGUGGCGUCAGGAUGGCCACCCUGCUUGCGGGCGCUGGCAGCCACAGUGGCUCUGGCAAGGGAGGUGGCCAAGCUCACCCUGGGACAAAACAGUGAUGUCCCAGCGAGGUCCCACACUCCGUCACCGCUCUGAUGAACAGCCAAGGACACACGUGGGUGACCCACUUGAGAAAUACAGCCAGGGCCUACUCUGUGAAAACCUCAGGGUCCCCUUGGAAACAGAACGGACAAUAAAGUCAGCUUUCCUUCUGCGCGCCAAGCCCGGCCAACCCCAUCAUGACUGCGAAGAGAUAAUGGACAAAGUCUACUCACGCCGACCAGACUGGACCGAAGAUGCCCCAACCUGGAACUGUUCACGGAUGGAAGGAGCUUCAUUCAGGAGGGACGAUGGAGAGCAGGCUAGGCCGUGACGACGCUGACAGCAGCACAGAGGCGAAGCCCUCGCCCCAAGGUCGGUCAGCAGAGAGCAGGACCGUGGGCGUGUCCAGGCAUUGGGGUGUGUGCGCGGGGAAAGCCAACCUGCAUCUACACCGACUCCAGGUGUGCCUUCGCUACCUGGCACGUACACGGGGCUGCCUCCAAAGAAAGGGGACUGCUGACAGCUGGGGAGAGGAAAUUAAAGCCAGGAAUCCAUCCUCCAGUUACUGGAGGCGGGCUGGGACCUUCACAGGUGGCUGUCCUACACUGUUGGGGACCCCAGAGAGGGGCUGAUCCUGUCAGGAGAGGAAACUGACUGGCCGACCAGGCUGCCAGAGCAGCCGCCCAUUGACCCAGCCUCCCGCUUGGACCCAAACCUCCAAAGUCCUGCUAGCCCCAGAGCUGCCCACUUCCCCAAAAUAUCACCAGGAGGAGGACCACUGGGCCCCAAAUGAAGGGGGGAUUCAGGCAAAGGAAGGCUGGGGAAAACUGCCAGACCAGCGACUCUUCGCUCCCAGCUCAGGGGCAACACAGAUGGUGACCCAGGACCAUGAGGCGACCCACCUGGGAAAGACAGCCCUGGAAGGGCUGCCGAGCCGAUGCACCUUUAUCCCCGGACUCCCUGCACUCUGUGCUCAAAUCAGCCACAGGCGUACCACUUGCGCCCAAAACAACACAAGUCAAGGACCCAGGCUUAACCCAGGAACACAAGCCAGAGGUACGGCACCCUCUGAAGACCCAGAGAGGUGGACUUCACCCAGGUCAGCACUGCCGGGGCUACGGGUACGUACUUGUGCCGGUUGGCAUCUACUCAGGAUGGGUGGCAGCCGUCCCCACUCCGACCGAGGGAGUCAGGGCCCUGAGGCGAGAAACAAACCCUAGAUACGGACCGCCCCUCCCCGUUGGAUCCAACAUUGGACCUGCCUUUGUGGCAGAAGUGGCCCGAAUCCAAACAAAGACCUUGGGGGUAAGGUGGAAACUCCAUGUCACAUACAGAGCACAGAGUCGAGGGAAAGUGGAGCAAAGGAACCGGACCCUCGAGACCCGAGCCACGCUCCACCAGGAGAUGCGACUGCCCUGCAUAGACGUGUUGUUCCGAGCCCGAGGCAGCCCGAGACCCUUUGUUAUUCCCCGUUAGAGAUCCUGUAUGGGAGGCCUCCCCUGGUCAUUAAGAGGGGGUCUCCAGCAGAUAGGGGGUCUGGAACCGACCCGGCACAGCCACAGCUUGGGAAGGGUACUCGGACACAUCCCUGGAGAAACCCUAGAGAGAGCACCCACCCUGUAGGAAACGGGGUGUGUCCUCAGCAGCCCCGGGCAGUGGGGUGGGUCAAAGACUGCAAGACAGAGCUGCUCCAGCCAGUCUGGACAGGCGCCCACAUGGCGAUUUGGGCACCUCCACCUGCCACCAAAGGUGCAGGCCUCACCCCGUGGGUCCAUCACAGCAGAGUCAAGGGGGCUGCACCCACGGCCGACACAGACAUCUGGGUGACCGCCCGGCCCCCCGAGGAUCCCCUCAAGAUCGAGUUCCAGAGGUACCCGUCACCGUCACCAGAGAACGUCCACCCUGCUCUGGCCACCCCCGGAAGCUGGUCAGUCUGUGUGCGGUGGAAGCUUGAGAACUUUCCACGCGGGACCCGAAGGAGACCCGUGCUCCGGUGGGGAACGCUAACCACUGGGGUACCUCACCCUCCUGCUCAGGGGUGGGCUUUAUGCUGUAACCCUCACGAUGGGGCCAUGGUCCCCGGCCACUCCUCUGUGGGCGUAUUUCCUGUCUGCAGGUCUGUUGGGAACUGUCCUCCUUGUGGGCCAAAAGGAGUAACGAGUGUGGGGACAGUUCUGUGGAUGGCCGCCCUUCUGGUCAUCGCCAGCCACGGGAAGGCCGCUCGUCCUUGGCGGGCCGUAGUUUCCCAAAUGGCAGCCUUGGCAAACGAGCCGGGGUGCUGGGCCUGCCUAUCAGAAGACCAAGGGUGGAGUUCCCAUCGUGGCGCAGUGGUUAAUGAAUCCAACGAGGAACCAUGAGGUGGCGGGUUUGAUCCCUGGCCUUGCUCCGUGGGUUGAGGAUCCGGUGUUGCCGUGAGCUGUGGUGUAGGUUGCAGAUGCAGCUCGGAUCUCGCGUGGCUGUGGCUGUGGUGCAGGCAGGUGGCUACAGGUCCGAUGAGACCCCUCGCCUGGGAACCUCCACAUGCUGCGGGAGCAA